rnacentral:rRNA from 1 species
CCUACGGGAGGCAGCAGUGGGGAAUAUUGCGCAAUGGGCGAAAGCCUGACGCAGCGACGCCGCGUGAGGGAUGAAGGUCUUCGGAUCGUAAACCUCUGUCAGCAGGGAAGAACGGUCACUGUGCUAAUCAGCAGUGAAUUGACGGUGCCUGCAAAGGAAGCACCGGCUAACUCCGUGCCAGCAGCCGCGGUAAUACGGAGGGUGCGAGCGUUAAUCGGAAUUACUGGGCGUAAAGCGCUCGUAGGCGGUAUGUCAAGUCAAGGGUGAAAGCCCCGCGCUCAACGUGGGAACUGCCUUUGAAACGGGCAAACUGGAGUGUGUGAGAGGAGAGUGGAAUUCCAGGUGUAGGAGUGAAAUCCGUAGAUAUCUGGAGGAACAUCAGUGGCGAAGGCGACUAUCUGGCACAUAACUGACGCUGAGGAGCGAAAGCGUGGGUAGCAAACAGGAUUAGAUACCCCUGUAGUC